rnacentral:misc_RNA from 1 species
GAUGAAGAAACGUAGCGAAAUGCGAUAAGUAAUGUGAAUUGCAGAAUUCAGUGAAUCAUCGAAUCUUUGAACGCACAUUGCGCCCGCCAGUAUUCUGGCGGGCAUGCCUGUCCGAGCGUCAUUUCAACCCUCGAACCCCUCCGGGGGGUCGGCGUUGGGGAUCGGCCCUGCCUCUUGGCGGUGGCCGUCUCCGAAAUACAGUGGCGGUCUCGCCGCAGCCUCUCCUGCGCAGUAGUUUGCACACUCGCAUCGGGAGCGCGGCGCGUCCACAGCCGUUAAACACCCAACUUCUGAAAUGUUGACCUCGGAUCAGGUAGGAAUACCCGCUGAACUUAAGCAUAUCAAUAAGCGGAGGA